rnacentral:rRNA from 1 species
GCCUUGGGUCGGCUUACUCUUGCAGUCGAGCGGAAGCAAUGAUCGCUUGCUAUCAAGCGUCGAGCGACGGACUGAUGAGUAACACUUAGAAAUCUACCUAGUAAUGCGGGAUACCUCGGGGAAACUCCACUUAAUACCGCAUACUACCUACGGAAGAAAGGGGGCAGCUUACGGCUCUCGCAAUUAGAUGACCCUAACUCCGAUUGGCUAUAUGGUGGGGUAGAGGCCUACCAUGGCGACGAUCUGGACCUGGCCUGACAACGAUGAUCAACCCCACCGGGACUGAUACACGGCCCGGACGUCCUCCGGGACGCAGCAGUGAGGAAUAUUGGACGAUGGGGGCAACCCUGAUCCAGCCUGUGCCGAGUGUGUGAAGAAGGCCUUUUGGUUGUACAGCACUUUACUCCGUGAAGAAGACCUUAUGGUUAAUACCCAUAUGCGAUGACAUUGCCUGCAGAAUACCCUCCGGCUACCUCUGUGCCAGCACCCGCGGUAAUACAUAGGGUGCACGCGUUAAUCGGAAUUACUGGGCGUAUUGUCGAGCAUAAGUGGCUUGAUAAGUCAGAUGUGAAAUCCCCGGGCUUAACACUGGGAACUGCCUCUGAUCACUGUUAAACUAGCAGUAGGUGACAGGGAAGUAUAAUUCCAGGAGUAGCGAUGAAAUGCCUACAUAUCUGGAGGAAUACCGAUGACAAAUGCAGCUUCCUGGCAUCAUACUGACACUCAUGCUGGAAAAGCGUGAGUAUCAGACACGAUUACAUACCCUGCUAGUCCGCGCCGUAAACGAUGUAGUACUAGUGUGUUGGGGAAUUUGAUUCCUUAGAGAGGCAGGUAACGCACAUAAGUACGACUCGCCUGGGGAGUGCGGCCGCAAGGUUAAAACUCUAAAUGAAUUGACGGGGGGCCGCACACAGCGCGUGGAGCACGUGGUUUAAUUUGAAGCAACGCGAAGAGACCUUACCCGGUUCUGACAUUUCUCGAAUCCUGCAGAGAGACGGGCGUUCCUCUCUGGAGAUUACGAGAUACAGCUGGUGCAUGCGCUGUUGUCAUCUCCUGUUGUGAGAAGAUGGGUGUAAGUCCUGCCACGAGGGCCACCCUCGUCCUUAGUUAGCCAGCGGCAUAAGCCGGGACAUUUAAGGGUGAUGCCAGGGGCCAACCGGGGGAAGGGGGGGGAGGCGGCAAGUUAUCCUGGCCCUUUCGGCCAGGGGUACCCCCGGGGUUCAAUGGUAGGUACAGAGGGCAGGUGCACACGGAUGGGAGGCGCAUCUCCAAAAACCUAUUGUCGUCCAGAUUGGCGUGUGCAACUUGACUCCAUGAAGUUGGAAUUGGUAGUAAUCGGGGAUCAGAAAGCCGGGGGGAAUACGUUCCCGGGCUCUUGUCCACACCGCCCGUCACACCAUGGGAGUUGAGUGCCCCAGGAAGUGGUGAGCCGUAACCUUUUGGGACGCAGCUCACGCUACGGUGUGAAAAACC